rnacentral:rRNA from 1 species
CAGCCGCCACGGUAAUACGAAGGGUGCAAGCGUUAAUCGGAAUUACUGGGCGUAAAGCGUGCGUAGGCGGUGAGUUAAGUCUGCUGUGAAAUCCCCGGGCUUAACCUGGGAAUGGCAGUGGAUACUGGCUCGCUAGAGUGUGUCAGAGGAUGGUGGAAUUCCCGGUGUAGCGGUGAAAUGCGUAGAGAUCGGGAGGAACAUCAGUGGCGAAGGCGGCCAUCUGGGACAACACUGACGCUGAGGCACGAAAGCGUGGGGAGCAAACAGGAUUAGAUACCCCCGUAGUCCCUGUCUCUUAUAA